rnacentral:rRNA from 1 species
UGAAUAAGCACCGGCUAACUCCGUGCCAGCAGCCGCGGUAAUACGGAGGGAGCUAGCGUUGUCCGGAAUUACUGGGCGUAAAGAGUAUGUAGGCGGUUAUUCAAGUCAGAGGUGAAAGCCUGGAGCUCAACUCCAGAACUGCCUUUGAAACUAGAUAGCUAGAAUCUUGGAGAGGUGAGUGGAAUUCCGAGUGUAGAGGUGAAAUUCGUAGAUAUUCGGAAGAACACCAGUGGCGAAGGCGACUCACUGGACAAGUAUUGACGCUGAGGUACGAAAGCGUGGGGAGCAAACAGGAUUAGAUACCCUGGUAGUCCACGCCGUAAACGAUGAUAACUAGCUGUUCGGGCUCUACGAGCUUGAGUGGCGCACUAACGCAUUAAGUUAUCCGCCUGGGGAGUACGGUCGCAAGAUUAAAACUCAAAUGAAUU